rnacentral:lncRNA from 1 species
AAAAAGGCGUCACUCCUAAAUACUCCGCGGGAACUGGGUGUCCUCGGGGUCGACCUGGGAAGGAACGGGACCGAGUUUCAGGCGACGACAGAGCGGGAGUCCCGCCAGAGAAGCGCGGGAGAGAUCUCUGAUGAAACUCUCGAUUGAAUCCUGCCGUGAUGGAGAUGGUAUGUUGGUGGAGCUGACGGGUCCGGGAUUGUUCAUAUUGCCUCCUACCCCCAGCUCCCUCCCUCUCACCUGGGAAGGCUGA